UAAGCGACUAAGCGUACACGGUGGAUGCCAUGGCAGUCAGAGGCGAUGAAGGACGUGCUAAUCUGCGAUAAGCGUCGGUAAGGUGAUAUGAACCGUUAUAACCGGCGAUUUCCGAAUGGGGAAACCCAGUGUGAGUCGUCACACUAUCAUUAACUGAAUCCAUAGGUUAAUGAGGCGAACCGGGGGAACUGAAACAUCUAAGUACCCCGAGGAAAAGAAAUCAACCGAGAUUCCCCCAGUAGCGGCGAGCGAACGGGGAGCAGCCCAGAGUCUGAAUCAGUGUGUGUGUUAGUGGAAGCGUCUGGAAAGGCGCGCGAUACAGGGUGACAGCCCCGUACACAAAAAUGCACAUGCUGUGAGCUCGAUGAGUAGGGCGGGACACGUGGUAUCCUGUCUGAAUAUGGGGGGACCAUCCUCCAAGGCUAAAUACUCCUGACUGACCGAUAGUGAACCAGUACCGUGAGGGAAAGGCGAAAAGAACCCCGGCGAGGGGAGUGAAAAAGAACCUGAAACCGUGUACGUACAAGCAGUGGGAGCCUCUUUUAUGGGGUGACUGCGUACCUUUUGUAUAAUGGGUCAGCGACUUAUAUUCUGUAGCAAGGUUAACCGAAUAGGGGAGCCGAAGGGAAACCGAGUCUUAACUGGGCGUUAAGUUGCAGGGUAUAGACCCGAAACCCGGUGAUCUAGCCAUGGGCAGGUUGAAGGUUGGGUAACACUAACUGGAGGACCGAACCGACUAAUGUUGAAAAAUUAGCGGAUGACUUGUGGCUGGGGGUGAAAGGCCAAUCAAACCGGGAGAUAGCUGGUUCUCCCCGAAAGCUAUUAGGUAGCGCCUCGUGAAUUCAUCUCCGGGGGUAGAGCACUGUUUCGGCAAGGGGGUCAUCCCGACUUACCAACCCGAUGCAAACUGCGAAUACCGGAGAAUGUUAUCACGGGAGACACGGCGGGUGCUAACGUCCGUCGUGAAGAGGGAAACAACCCAGACCGCCAGCUAAGGUCCCAAAGUCAUGGUUAAGUGGGAAACGAUGUGGGAAGGCCCAGACAGCCAGGAUGUUGGCUUAGAAGCAGCCAUCAUUUAAAGAAAGCGUAAUAGCUCACUGGUCGAGUCGGCCUGCGCGGAAGAUGUAACGGGGCUAAACCAUGCACCGAAGCUGCGGCAGCGACGCUUAUGCGUUGUUGGGUAGGGGAGCGUUCUGUAAGCCUGUGAAGGUGUGCUGUGAGGCAUGCUGGAGGUAUCAGAAGUGCGAAUGCUGACAUAAGUAACGAUAAAGCGGGUGAAAAGCCCGCUCGCCGGAAGACCAAGGGUUCCUGUCCAACGUUAAUCGGGGCAGGGUGAGUCGACCCCUAAGGCGAGGCCGAAAGGCGUAGUCGAUGGGAAACAGGUUAAUAUUCCUGUACUUGGUGUUACUGCGAAGGGGGGACGGAGAAGGCUAUGUUGGCCGGGCGACGGUUGUCCCGGUUUAAGCGUGUAGGCUGGUUUUCCAGGCAAAUCCGGAAAAUCAAGGCUGAGGCGUGAUGACGAGGCACUACGGUGCUGAAGCAACAAAUGCCCUGCUUCCAGGAAAAGCCUCUAAGCAUCAGGUAACAUCAAAUCGUACCCCAAACCGACACAGGUGGUCAGGUAGAGAAUACCAAGGCGCUUGAGAGAACUCGGGUGAAGGAACUAGGCAAAAUGGUGCCGUAACUUCGGGAGAAGGCACGCUGAUAUGUAGGUGAAGCGACUUGCUCGUGGAGCUGAAAUCAGUCGAAGAUACCAGCUGGCUGCAACUGUUUAUUAAAAACACAGCACUGUGCAAACACGAAAGUGGACGUAUACGGUGUGACGCCUGCCCGGUGCCGGAAGGUUAAUUGAUGGGGUCAGCGCAAGCGAAGCUCUUGAUCGAAGCCCCGGUAAACGGCGGCCGUAACUAUAACGGUCCUAAGGUAGCGAAAUUCCUUGUCGGGUAAGUUCCGACCUGCACGAAUGGCGUAAUGAUGGCCAGGCUGUCUCCACCCGAGACUCAGUGAAAUUGAACUCGCUGUGAAGAUGCAGUGUACCCGCGGCAAGACGGAAAGACCCCGUGAACCUUUACUAUAGCUUGACACUGAACAUUGAGCCUUGAUGUGUAGGAUAGGUGGGAGGCUUUGAAGUGUGGACGCCAGUCUGCAUGGAGCCGACCUUGAAAUACCACCCUUUAAUGUUUGAUGUUCUAACGUUGACCCCUAAUCGGGGUUGCGGACAGUGUCUGGUGGGUAGUUUGACUGGGGCGGUCUCCUCCUAAAGAGUAACGGAGGAGCACGAAGGUUGGCUAAUCCUGGUCGGACAUCAGGAGGUUAGUGCAAUGGCAUAAGCCAGCUUGACUGCGAGCGUGACGGCGCGAGCAGGUGCGAAAGCAGGUCAUAGUGAUCCGGUGGUUCUGAAUGGAAGGGCCAUCGCUCAACGGAUAAAAGGUACUCCGGGGAUAACAGGCUGAUACCGCCCAAGAGUUCAUAUCGACGGCGGUGUUUGGCACCUCGAUGUCGGCUCAUCACAUCCUGGGGCUGAAGUAGGUCCCAAGGGUAUGGCUGUUCGCCAUUUAAAGUGGUACGCGAGCUGGGUUUAGAACGUCGUGAGACAGUUCGGUCCCUAUCUGCCGUGGGCGCUGGAGAACUGAGGGGGGCUGCUCCUAGUACGAGAGGACCGGAGUGGACGCAUCACUGGUGUUCGGGUUGUCAUGCCAAUGGCACUGCCCGGUAGCUAAAUGCGGAAGAGAUAAGUGCUGAAAGCAUCUAAGCACGAAACUUGCCCCGAGAUGAGUUCUCCCUGACUCCUUGAGAGUCCUGAAGGAACGUUGAAGACGACGACGUUGAUAGGCCGGGUGUGUAAGCGCAGCGAUGCGUUGAGCUAACCGGUACUAAUGAACCGUGAGGCUUAACCU
rnacentral:rRNA from 1 species